AAUUCUCAACUUCAAUAGUUUGUAAUGAACUCAUUGAAGAUUGGACGUGGAGGCUUGCUGGCGUCUCAGAUGUUCGGCUCCUCUUAAAUGCAUUAGUGGAUCCCGUUAGUUGGACUACAACUUUGGUGUGAUAAUUAUCUACACUUCAGUUCGUUCAACAGCUCUAUGAACAAGUUUUCGGAGACACUAGUGUUUCUGGUUUGGGUUUUGCAUUAGUAGUGCUUUACCUGGUUCAUUAGAGUAGGGCUUUAUCUGCUUUCAAACCGUCUGCGAAUGCGGACAAUACUUUUGACU
rnacentral:misc_RNA from 1 species